CAAUAAGCGGAGGAAAAGAAACCAACAGGGAUUACCUCAGUAACGGCGAGUGAAGCGGUAACAGCUCAAAUUUGAAAGCUAGCUCUUCUAGGGUUCGCAUUGUAAUUUGUAGAAGAUGCUUCGGGUGUGGCCCCGGUCUAAGUUCCUUGGAACAGGACGUCAUAGAGGGUGAGAAUCCCGUAUGUGACUGGGUGCCUUCGCUCAUGUGAAGCUCUUUCGACGAGUCGAGUUGUUUGGGAAUGCAGCUCAAAAUGGGUGGUAAAUUUCAUCUAAAGCUAAAUAUUGGCCAGAGACCGAUAGCGCACAAGUAGAGUGAUCGAAAGAUGAAAAGCACUUUGGAAAGAGAGUUAAACAGUACGUGAAAUUGUUGAAAGGGAAGCGCUUGCAACCAGACUUGCGCGCUGAUGAUCAUCCGGGCUUCUGCCCGGUGCACUCGUCUGCGCUCAGGCCAGCAUCGGUUUCGGUGGUGGGAUAAAGGCCUUGGGAAUGUAGCUCCUCUCGGGGAGUGUUAUAGCCCUCGGUGCAAUGCCGCCUACCGGGACCGAGGACCGCGCUUCGGCUAGGAUGCUGGCGUAAUGGUUGUAAGCGACCCGUCUUGAAACACGGACCAAGGAGUCUAACAUCUAUGCGAGUGUUUGGGUGUCAAACCCAUACGCGGAAUGAAAGUGAACGGAGGUGAGAACCCUUAAGGGUGCAUCAUCGACCGGUCCUGAUGUCUUCGGAUGGAUCUGAGUAAGAGCAUAGCUGUUGGGACCCGAAAGAUGGUGAACUAUGCGUGAAUAGGGUGAAGCCAGAGGAAACUCUGGUGGAGGCUCGCAGCGGUUCUGACGUGCAAAUCGAUCGUCAAAUUUGCGUAUAGGGGCGAAAGACUAAUCGAACCAUCUAGUAG
rnacentral:rRNA from 1 species